UACGGGGGGGGCAAGCGUUGUUCGGAAUUACUGGGCGUAAAGGGUUCGUAGGUGGCCAAUUAAGUCAGACGUGAAAUCCCUCAGCUUAACUGGGGAACUGCGUCUGAGACUGGAUGGCUCGAGUGCAGGAGAGGAACGCGGAAUUCCAGGUGUAGCGGUGAAAUGCGUAGAUAUCUGGAGGAACACCGGUGGCGAAGGCGGCGUUCUGGACUGCAACUGACACUGAGGAACGAAAGCCAGGGGAGCAAACGGG
rnacentral:rRNA from 1 species